rnacentral:rRNA from 1 species
UACGUAGGGCGCAAGCGUUGUCCGGAAUUAUUGGGCGUAAAGAGCUCGUAGGCGGCUUGUCACGUCGGAUGUGAAAGCCCGGGGCUUAACCCCGGGUCUGCAUUCGAUACGGGCUAGCUAGAGUGUGGUAGGGGAGAUCGAAUUCCUGGUGUAGCGGUGAAAUGCGCAGAUAUCAGGAGGAACACCGGUGGCGAAGGCGGAUCUCUGGGCCAUUACUGACGCUGAGGAGCGAAAGCGUGGGGAGCGAACAGG